rnacentral:rRNA from 1 species
AUGGGACGCAUACGCCAUAGAGUCGUCCCCCCCUGCCAAUUUUUUUGCCAUAUCCGUCCCGAUGGUUCGGUGGCUCUGAUCAUUGAUCCAAUUAUCGAUGGGUUCCAUCUCACAAAAGUCCUUACGGAUGGCGGCAGUAGCCUUAAUCCACUCUACCAAGACACUAUCCGCAAAAUGGGCAUCGAUCCUUCAAGAAUCAAGCCCACCACAACCACCCCCAAGGGAGCAGUACUCGGCGUAGAAGCUCACUGUAGGGGCUCCGUCACAUUGGAAGUCAUUUUAGGUUCGCCGAACAACUUCCGAAGUGAAGGCUUGACCUUUGAUAUUGUCCCGUUCCGCAGUAGCUACCAUGCACUUCUGGGGCGUACCGCUUUUGCUCAUUUUAAUGUGGUCCCACUCUACGCCCGUGCAAAACUUAAGAUGCCCGGUCACGGGGCGUCAUAA